rnacentral:lncRNA from 1 species
UGAUUCUGUGGAAGCUCAGUUCCAUCACAGUGAUUCUCUGGAAGCUCAGUUCCAUGGGUUUGAACAGCGUUUGGAGGGGAUUGGAGGGGAUGAAGGAACCGGUUCUUGUUCCUGAUUUCAGGGAUUAGUCGGGUCUUUAGGGCUCGGAUGACCUGAGUCAUUAAAAAAAAAUUAUUUUGAUUUUUUCUUUUAACAUUUCCCAGAUUGAUCAGUUUAUGAAAAAAAUAUGCAUAGGGACUACGACAUCUAAUUUUCUUUUUGUGAUGUUUGUUAUUGCUGUGACGUUUCCAAUACUACAAUUUAGUUUGAAUACCUGUCUGUAUAAAAACUGAGGACCAAAUUCCACCGUGUAUUGGUAGUUUUGGUACCAACACUAAAAGGCCUGUUUAAUAUUCGUCAUUUUUGUACAUAUCUGUAAAGUAUAGUUGAAAAAAAUCAAAUAAACGUCAAAACCAUGACUGACCUAAACAAACUAAGUUAGCCAAAAAUCAAGCCUCCCACAGGUUUAGAUUAGGCUGGGCUUAAGUUAAUCGACUAUGUUUAUUUUGUUGUGAAUAAAAUGUGAGGUUGAAGAUUUGUGCUUAUUUAUUUUAUAUGUAUAUUCGAUGGGAAAAAAGAGAAAUGAGAUGUCUACUUUAAUAUAUAUAUAAAAGGUGAGGUUGAAGAAUUGUGUUUAUUUAUUUUAUAUGUAUAUUCUGAUCGAUGGGAAAAAUGAGAAAUGAGAUGUUGACUUUAAUUUAAUAUAUAUAUGUAGUACGUGAGAGAGAGAGUCAAAGAUGAAUCAUUUUAUUUUCUUCUUAAGUUACAAAAUUAGGAAAGGGGACCAUCACUAUUUAUAGUGGUGUGGAAGUCGGUUGAUCAAAUCAACCAGAAGAAAAGGACAAAACCAAAAAGAUGAUGAUGCACAAAUGAACCAAGAAGAGGACAAGUGUAAUGUAAUGACAACAUAUGACAUAGACAUCUGUCCACUAGAUGAAUCAUCAAUUGCAACACUCCCCCU